GGAUGUGAGGGCGAUCUGGCUGCGACAUCUGUCACCCCAUUGGUCGCCAGGGUUGAUUCGGCUGAUCUGGCAAAUGACUUAAGACUACCUGAUAUUUUAAUUAUCCAUGACUUUACUCUUUGCCAUUGUAUGGAGGGAAAAGAUAGUUGUGUGUUAUCUCUUUCUUAAAAAGUGUGUGUGUGUGUGUGUGUGUGUGUGUGUGUGUGUGUGUGGUGUUAUCUCAUAUACAUCUGAGUCCCAAGUUUUAUAUACAUAAAAGACUGU
rnacentral:snRNA from 1 species